rnacentral:rRNA from 1 species
UACAGAGGUCUCAAGCGUUGUUCGGAUUCAUUGGGCGUAAAGGGUGCGUAGGUGGCGCUGUAAGUCGGGGUGUGAAAUUUCGGAGCUUAACUCCGAAACUGCAUUCGAUACUGCCGUGCUUGAGGACUGGAGAGGAGACUGGAAUUUACGGCGUAGCGGUGAAAUGCGUAGAUAUCGUAAGGAAGACCAGUGGCGAAGGCAGCUCACUGGGACGGUACUGACGCUGAGACGCGAAAGCGUGGGGAGCAAACAGGG